rnacentral:rRNA from 1 species
AGUGAACGCUGGCGGUAGGCCUAACACAUGCAAGUCGAACGGCAGCACAGGAGAGCUUGCUCUCUGGGUGGCGAGUGGCGGACGGGUGAGGAAUACAUCGGAAUCUACUCUGUCGUGGGGGAUAACGUAGGGAAACUUACGCUAAUACCGCAUACGACCUACGGGUGAAAGCAGGGGACCUUCGGGCCUUGCGCGAUUGAAUGAGCCGAUGUCGGAUUAGCUAGGUGGCGGGGUAAAGGCCCACCAAGGCGACGAUCCGUAGCUGGUCUGAGGGGACGAGCAGCCACAUCGGAACUGAGACCCGGUCCAGACUCCUACGGGAGGCAGCAGUGGGGAAUAUUGGACAAUGGGCGCAAGCCUGAUCCAGCCAUACCGCGUGGGUGAAGAAGGCCUUCGGGUUGUAAAGCCCUUUCGUUGGGAAAGAAAUCCAGCUGGCUAAUACCCGGUUGGGAUGACGGUACCCAAAGAAUAAGCACCGGCUAACUUCGUGCCAGCCGCCGCCGUAA